GACGAACGCUGGCGGCGUGCUUAACACAUGCAAGUCGAACGGUGGGGCGAACGGGUGAGUAAUACGUGGGUGCACUUCCUUGCACUUCGCAAUAAGCUUGGGUAACUGGGUCUAAUACCGGAUAGUGCAAGAUGGGCUGGCGGCCUAUCAGCUUGUUGGUGGGGUCAUGGCCUACCUAGGCGUGGACGGGUACCCGGCCUGGGAGUGGGUACGGCCACAUUGGGACUGAGGUACGGCGCAGAAUCCAACGGGAGGCAGUAGUGGGGAAUAUUGCACAAUGGGGGGAAGCCGGAGGCAGCGACUCGGGGUGGGUAAUGAAGGCCUUCGGGUUGUGAACACCGGUCUACGGGGACGCGGUAGCUGUAUAAGAAGCACCGGCUAACUACGUGCCAGCAGCCGCGGUAAUUC
rnacentral:rRNA from 1 species